GAGCUCGCUUCCACAUCACAUAUAUUAAAAUUGGAAUGAUACAGAGAUUAGCAUGGCCCCUGUGCAAGGAUGACAACGCAAAUUCGUGAAGCAUUUCAUGUUUAA